CUCCUGAAAAGAUGCCAUGCGGGUUUCGUGUUAAACGGCAUGUUUCACAAAGAGGCCUGGCCUGCUGUGGUUUGUGUCACUGUUCUGCCAAAGGACAGUGGUAAGACACAGCUGCAGCUUUGGUUUCCAUUCUACACUGGGCAAGUCGUCCCCCUUCAGCCUGAACCAAAGCCAGUGCCUGCCUGUUGGGAAUAUCAAGCGGGAAGCUGGCCAAGGCUCUAUCAGUGACAGCAGGCGGGGAAGUGGGCUGUGACUCAGAUAGACCAGGAAGCUGCUUCGAUAAAGAGCUAAAGUAAGUUACUCCGCUGUGACCCCAGGGGCCCGUCUUUCCUAUCCUCCCUCCAGGUCAGAGGGCUCAGAUCCUGCCCCGGUCUCACUGCAAGAGAGCCUGGCUGUCCUGCUGGAUGAUCAGAGACGGGGGCAGGACAGAAACCUGAGAAGUCUACAAGGGCAGGUGCACAGACAGCCUUGGUGAGGUUCCUUCUCCAACUAGACGGCCAGUAAAGGUUUGGUCAUUCUUACUGCAGCCUGGAGGCACAUCUUAGCUUGCUGAUGACACUUAGCAUUUGAGGAGCAAGGGCGAGCCUUCCUAGGGGGCUGCUCACUUGACUUUUAGGAUAUCCUCUGGGGGAGUUAACAAGAGGAGUGAGAUGUUAGAGUCAUUCCUGGAGCAGUGAGAGGGAUGGUUCUAGCAGGCACAGCAUAGGAAGCCUCUAUUGUUGACGGAGGUUCCCUAGGGAUGCUUGCUUUGACCACUACCUCCAGCAGAGAGUGACAAACUCAGGAAGCUGCUCUGCCUCUUUCCUGUCCCCUGACCUCUCUAUAGCCCCUCCUCACACAGGCAAAGGUGUCCUGGGCUGAGCCCAAGAACUUGCUUCCAGGCUGCAAAAGGGACAGCCCUGCGGAAUGGCUCCUGGGGGACAUUUGAAUCCCCAAGGACUUGGGCCACAUAGCGUAAGAGUCCCAUCCUGUCCACAAGGUGCCUGCACACUGCCCCUGGGAGGAGCAGCACAGUCAAAUGUGUGGCAGGAGGCCUGAGUCUAACUGGCUGGGAAGCUUCAGCAAACAGCUUCACCUCUUUGAGUCUCAGCCUCUGCCAGGUCUGAACUGGAGGAUUUGACCCAAAUGAGCAGCUUCCCAGCUGCACUCGAGGGAUGGGAGGGCUUGGCACAUUUGGCAGAGGGGCCCUGCUCCCCAGCACCCAGCCACCCUGCUGGAAUCAAGCCAGAAGGUAACCCGGGCACAUGUCGGGCUGCCCAGUACACUUUCAGUCUGAAAACUAACCAGCUUUGGUGCACCGAGAAGUCCGUGAGACCCAAACCUCAUGCGAAGUUCAUGUUAACGGAUGGUUGCUGUUCAGUCUUAGGACAUUUUUGUCUCUCCUGCUACCUGUCCUUGGAGGACCGUGAACAGAGGUGACCUGUGGUAGGUACAAUGGCAGGUGAGGGUUGGGAGCUGCUGUGGGAAGGUGGGAAAUGCAGGAGAAAACACUUUUUUUUUUUUGUCUUUUUCUUUUUUAUCGGUACCAGGGAUCGAACUCAUGACUGCCUGCUUGCAAGGCAGGCGCUUAUGCCACUGAACUAAAUCCCCAGCCCCCUAAGAGAACUCUUGCAAAAUGCCAGGUAUAUUUAGAUGAGAGUCCUGGUUGCCAACCUCGGAAAUGAAUAGAGCAGGAACAGAGGUAAUGCAGACUGGGCAGGAUGUAUCUUUACACAACUGGAAACGUGUGAGAUCUAUCUUCUUGGCUAAGUGCUGGGCUGCUGCUGUCACUUGGAUUACCCAAAGCACCAUUUUAUGUCCUGUCUACUGGACAGAGUUGAUGUCAUGGCUUCUGGUGGCCUUUCCUUUUCACAAAGGAAUGUGUGACUGCCAAACAUGUGGAGGCUUUACCUCUCCAUGGUGUUUGUUUAGAAACAGAAAAAUACAGAUGCUGUUCAAGAUCUCUUUUCUUUUGCAGGACCUAAGCCUGGCAUUUGAAUAUGAAGAUGUGUCAUGGUGGUAGAAAUUCAAGUUGAGGCCCGGAUAAUGGAUCCUCUAGAUCUAGCCUCUCCCCAAGUGCCAAAUCUCACCUGCAUGCCUGCCUUUGUAUGCAUCGCUCUCUCUCUCUCUCUCUUUCACACACACACACACACACACACACACACACACACAUCUUGAUAUUGUACACCUAUGAGGGAGGUGACACUCCUGCUUUCAGCAUCCCGUGGCUGAGCUCUUGAUCCACUUGGUCUCACAGAGUCCGAGACUGGCAGCUCUCUUGGGGAAAGGUCGAGCAUACAUCCCCGCCUCUGCCACUGCUCACCCCACUCCAUGCCCCUUUGUCUACUUAGGGUUUGUGGCUCUUGCAAACAGCGCUAGGAGUCCCUGCAAGCUGCACAGUUUCCUUGGGCAGUUGUCUUUGAUUUCAAAAAGUCUUCAGCCUCCACCACUACAGCUGUUCCUGGUUCUGACCUUUCACAAGGAGUCUCGGAAGUGCCUCAAAGGAGGGAAGAAGUAAGCACACACUUUAAACAUAUAUGACAGAUAUGCUUGCAGCAUCAAAGAGAGAAGGUGCGGAAAGAACUCUGGAGAAGCAGCUUUUCCCCUGCGUCUCAGCUUGUUUGCUGUUUAUAUUGGUUCCUGUGAACUUAUAGUUCCAGGCAUGCAUAGAAACAGAAACACAGAGACACCUGCCACCGUGCCGAGCACUUCAUGUGACAUGACUCUUCUCUGGACAAAUACAGUGAUGCAGCUUUUUUUUU